CAAAAUUACAUCUCUGUCCAACAUAUAACAAAUGUUUUUUUUAGAAGAAAGAGAGAGGGGCUAUGGGGUGGGGAAACCACCACCACUACCCCACAAAAAGGUUACAGAGGUACAAGGGGCGUAACCCCACAAUCUUUUCAAUGUUUUUUUUAAUCCAAUAACGAAGUAAAUAAGUUAACAUUUUAUACCCGGGAGGUUUAGAACAUCUUUAUGAGCUUGCAUUGCAGAGAAGUUUUCAUAAUUUAAGUCCCAAAUAGAACAGUCAUGUUUUAAGACGAUAAAAUCGGAAAACUGGGAUUUUUUUAAAGAGACAAAACGCACAUUUUAGAUACACUUUCUUAUGUAGAAAAAUAGUACAAUAUAUUUCGGAGUCGAUGGGGGGCAAAUCCUAAACAGAAAUCUCCCUAACUCAGUAAUAUAGCCUUAAAUCCUUAAAGCAUGCAUUGCCUACAUACAUCACCAAAACCCAAGUGCAUGUUUGAUAUUCUCAGCCUCUUCUAUACCAAAAUGGAUAUAACACAUUGGGUUGCAGAUGUUUAAUGUAUCUAUGGCACUAUCCAUGGAAUGCCUAGCUGACAUAUAAACAUUUCAGCAAUUCAACCUAUAAAUGUGUCGAUUUACAUUUACAUCAUUUACAUUUUCCACUUGUGCAGUAAUAGAGGGAUACAAUUCAUUUCUUUAGACAUUAUGAACAUUUGACCUUUUAUUUAUUUUUGUUACACCAAGGGCAUGUCAAAUUGCAAAUUGUCAUGUAUAUUUAGGUCCUAAUAUUUCAGACCUUGGACUAUCAAAAGAGCAUUUUAAAUAUCAACUUGGAUCUCAUGAUGAUUUUUAACUUUUUACACAAAUUGACCAUAGUUUGAGGACAGACUGUUAAACUGUGUGAUACCAUAGUACCACAUGGUACAACCAGUGCCACCUGCCUUAUCUGUGUCAUUUACUAUAGUGCAUCAACCACUACACUCAAAUCAUAUGAAUGAGAAAUGGGAGAUAGCCAAGUAAUUUCUUAUCUUGGGUUUUCAGGAACGUCUAGAUGUCACACUGCCAUCUGUAUUUUUUAUGGAGUGCCGUGGUUCUUAGUUAUAUUCAGAGUCCACCCCUUCCCCCAGUUUGCCAUUAUAUUAAAAAUGGAUUCCCUCCAUAUUGCUGGCCUCCUACCUACCGCAACGACAAGAUGCAUCGCUUUCUCCAUCACUGGUAUAAUCCACUGCUCCUCACAGAGGACCAAUGGAGACCUGAUGCGCAUGCUUGGCACGUGCUACACAUGCAUCCAACGUUUCUCAUACAAAAGCAUUGAAUCCAUUGCUUUCCUAUGAGCUGCAACGUCACAAGAUCGCGUUUUACUUGGUCAUUGUAGCGGAAGCAGCUCUAGUGGCGGUCAGUACGGCAGCCACUAGAGGCGUGCUUGACCCUUCAAGGAAAACAUUGCCCUUUCUGCAAAACAGCAAUGUUUUACCUUGACUCUUUAAACAUACAGGACCACUGUACCAAGACCACUUCAUUGGGAUUUAGAGAUGGGACAAUUAUGCAGUGUUAAUUCAUUAAAUGUAUUGAAUAUUGAACAUUUGUUUCUGCUAGCUUGCACUCCAUAGAACAAUCCUGUAGUGUAUUUAUUACUGAUUAAUUGAUUACCAUUGACCUUUGAAGCUCCUCUGGAGACUCAGUAGGAACUUUGUAUUCAAUAUCUACCUUUCACUGAGCCAUAUAAUUUUGCUAGCUUAUCAAUGCAGAAUGGAUCCUGUUAAAUAGAACAAGGGAUUAGCCAUCCAUUAACGGGCAAGUAUAUCCCUAAAAAGUGACUACCUGAAAAAUAAAUAAAUGUUAUCAUUUGUGAGGUGCAUCCUGGAAGCAUUCUGGUAUAAGUGAAUACAAUGCCAAUGCUUCGCUACAUUGGAAGCAAGACUUAUCUAUGAAGCAAUGUUUGAGAUAAUAUUGGGUUACAUGGCACGUUUUUCACAAAAAAUUGAGUUUUGAACUUCUAAUUAUUAUCACAGUUAAAUUGUCCUAAUUCUGCAGCAGGGAUUUCCAAAAGGGUCUUUGAGAACGAAAGUUCAGGUAGAGUUUUAGAAGUUUACACACAAACAAUUAACAUUGUAAGCAAUAUGCUACAUAUCAUUAGCAAUGCAGCCCCUCCCCCCCAGCCAUCCCAGUGUUGGCAGGACAAUAAUGUUCUUCAGUUCCUUGUCCACCAGGGAAUGGUCCCCAAUGAGCAUAGAGUGAGUGAGCGCAUCAUUAGAUGUGUUUGCGCUAUGUUCAGCGCACUAACACAGUUCUUCCUGUAUGGUCUGACC
rnacentral:lncRNA from 1 species